CUUUUCUUGGUCACUGUUGUUGGAGGGGGAUCUUUAAGGACCAAGCUCUCACUCUGAAGUCAUUUGUGACAGGAGCUUGGUGGCAGGUUUGCACCAUUCUCCACUGGAAUGCUGAUGGAGUGGCAGAGAGGGUCUUUACUGAAGACAGUGCCUCAGCAGCUAGUGAGGAGAUGGACUGGUGUCCUCCACUUCUUUUGUGAUGUGGAAAAGGCCCUGGCUAUGCUUAUUUGCCCAGAGGCUGACCAGCCAGCAUCCCUGUGGUCAGAAAAGACAGGAGUCAGUUUUUUAUCCCUUGUACUUCCUGGGAUGAAACCUUGCCAAGGCAGAGAAGGAGGGAAAUAUCUUACUUUUGAGUGUAACUAGAAGACCAAAUGAGGAAAAAUGGAUGGAAGACAAAGGCAGUGCCCGGAACCCUUUCUCUGCAGUGACCUUGUCAAAGACCUCAGCCAUGAAGAGAAGUGAAGCUAAAAGGUAAGGUUAUACAAAUGGGAUGUUGACUUUGAGAAACUAUGGUUAGGGUUAGUUCAGGGUUAUUGUUAUACUUAUGGUUAGGGUUUAUACUCAUGGUUGGGGUUAGGGUUAGGAUUAGGUUCAGGGAUCAGGGUUCAGGUUUAGGGUAAGGAUUAGGGUUAUGUUUAGGUUUCACUGUUACACUUGAGGUUAGCUCUAGGAUGAG
rnacentral:lncRNA from 1 species